rnacentral:rRNA from 1 species
CAAUAGCGUAUAUUAAAGUUGUUGCAGUUAAAAAGCUCGUAGUUGGAUUUUGAGUUUGGUAAAAUCGGUCUGCUUUCCGCAGUACUGACUUGCCUGCUCUUCUUCUCGAGGCCUAUGAGUGUACUUAACCGUGCGUUCAUAGUGUUCGGGACUUUUACCGUGAGAAAAUUAGAGUGUUCAUAGCAGGCUUUUGCUUGAAUAUUGCAGCAUGGAAUAAUGGAAUAGGAUCAUGAUCUUAUUUUGUUGGUUUCUAAGAUCAAGAUAAUGAUUAAUAGGGAUAGUUGGGGGCAUUAAUAUCUAGUUGUCAGAGGUGAAAUUCUUAGAUUUACAAAAGAUUAACUUCUGCGAAAGCAUUUGCCAAGGAUGUUUUCGUUAA